rnacentral:rRNA from 1 species
ACUCCUACGGGAGGCAGCAGUGGGGAAUAUUGGACAAUGGGCGCAAGCCUGAUCCAGCCAUGCCGCGUGAGUGAUGAAGGCCCUAGGGUUGUAAAGCUCUUUCACCGGUGAAGAUAAUGACGGUAACCGGAGAAGAAGCCCCGGCUAACUUCGUGCCAGCAGCCGCGGUAAUACGAAGGGGGCUAGCGUUGUUCGGAUUUACUGGGCGUAAAGCGCACGUAGGCGGACUAUUAAGUCAGGGGUGAAAUCCCGGGGCUCAACCCCGGAACUGCCUUUGAUACUGGUAGUCUUGAGUUCGAGAGAGGUGAGUGGAAUUCCGAGUGUAGAGGUGAAAUUCGUAGAUAUUCGGGGGAACACCAGUGGGGAAGGCGGCUCACUGGCUCGAUACUGACGCUGAGGUGCGAAAGCGUGGGGAGCAAACAGGAUUAGAUACCCCAGUAGUCCCAUGAU